GUAUAAACGUCCCAAAAUCUUUUUAUUCCUAGUCUGGUAUCUGCUAGGUAGAAUAACAUUUUAUAUGCUCCACAAGAUAAAACCUAAACCACUACUUCUGAAACCCCAUUGGGAAUAUUACACAUCUGUUUUUUAAGUCAGUCCAACUUUUAAGUGCUGAUAAUACUCACCAAGCAGCUGGCCAGAUGAAGCCCCCUACCCAAACUAAUACACAGUGAUGGACAAUGAUUCCACUGAAGAUGUAGACACAGCAGGAGCAUAUUGAAGUUCAUUGCUCUGCAAGAUAAAGCUCCACUUUUCUAACUAUUAGAAAUGUUUUCAGAGAAUUUGCUACAUAUCUAAAUGAUUAGUAUAUUUUUCUCCCCUUCCUGUCUCCCCUUAAAUACACUUGCAGAAAAGCCAUGAAAAUCCCAUAGAUUAAAAAAAAAAAGACUGAAUGCAACUGCAUUUUGGGAUUUACCAUUUUCAUUAAUGUUAAGUUUUAACAUUAAAGGGGCCCUUGUCAGAGCUGACAGGACCAGAAUUUGACAUGCACUCUCUCUCUUUCUCUUCAGCAGCUGAGUGUUCAUCAGCAACCUUCAAUCAUUCUGUGAGAAUAUGAUGAAGAAAAUAACAUUUGGAAGACUCGUACUGGGCUGUCAAAAGUAACCUUUAGAGGUCAGCAAAGUGUCAAGGAAAUACGGAGUACCCAGCUUUGGUUUUGCAUAUCCAUGCUCACACAGUUUUACUGUGAGCCUCAACUCUUUAUGCGUAUCCCAGUAUUUGCAUGCCCCACAUUGCAGUAGUAUCUGUGUACCCAUAAGCAAGACAUGUUUGUGAAGUCCUUCACAAUAGAAUAUUUUCUCUUUCCUAAAGACUGAACACGGUCAGUUGAGUUAAAACCUCCCUGCCUUAACAGCAUGUUCCUCUAUAACUUGUUCUAUAAUUUACAUAAGGAAAAAAACUGAUUUCCUAUAAACUCUCAAUAUACCACAGAGUCUUCAAACUUCGUUAGUAAAUGGAUUCUGUGGACAUUAACAAGAAAUAUUCGUAAUCACUUCAGAAAGGAACCAAGUCAAGUUAUCUUAAUUUCACAUAGCUACUGUCUUUUGACAAGUUUAAACGUACACCCUUUUUAAAAUGAAACCAGAAAGCAAAUGUUUGAGUAAUACUCAGCAUCCUUUUUUAAUUCAUAUGAUCUCCACUGGUGGAGAAAUGUUUUGACUACUCAUCCCUGCUCACAGUACAGUGUAGAAAUAUCCAAGCCAACUAUAAUACUGAAAACACUACAGCUGUAUCUAUGUGAGCUAAUUUUCCUUUGCUCACAUGAGCUAGCUCAGGUGUUCAUACACCAUAUUGUUUGGAUAUCCUGCAUAUAUCAGAUAUUGUUUCUUUCUGUAUGAUAAAUAGCUACUGAAAGUAGCUGGGUCCUUCUCUGGGUCCCAACUUCAUGACUGUUUGUAACAUUCAUUGUAUUUCAGUGUACCCUCUGAUAACUGGGGGAAUGGUUAGCGUGAAUAACCAUUUAUGAAUUUUAUGUCUUCUAAGUAGGUCAGUGCUAUUGUUAAUGUUAUACUGGCCUAGCGAUAAACCUUUUGUUUCUGCAAGAAGAAUGUCUGAGUGUUUUAAUGUCUGUUCUUCUGUGAUAGCAUGAGUGUAGCUUGCACUAAAAUAUUUGUCCUUUUUAAUGGAUCCAUUAAUUUAUUCCCACUGUGGAAAACCUUUGUACAGUUUCAAUGUUUGUAGAAAAUAAUAACCACCCUAAAGGAUAAGAGCUCUUUAAAGAGCAACCCUUCUUUCACCCAGCCAUUAUCCAUAAUUGCCACCUUGCAUUUUGUAAUUUUCAACAUAAACAUGGAUAUUACACCAUAUGAAGCAAAAACAAACUGUGCACUCCAAGGGGAAUUUCUUGUUGUUUUUAUUUUUUAGAAAAGUAUAAGGUAGUAUUUUCCUAGAUGAGAAAAAUUAAUCUACCAAGCUCAGGAAAGUAAAGUCAAAGAUUAAGGAACAAUUUGUGGUUUUGAAAAAGAAACAUUUAAAGAUGAAAAGAAAAACACAUGUUAAGAUUCAAAGCUUAAAACUGCAUCCAGAUGUUUUGAAUGGGUACAGUUUGUUCCUAUCUCUGCAGGUAGACAAUAGUAAAUACUGUCAUCUUUACUCUAUCUAGGUAAAAUGUACUUUGUUGCUACAGCAAUGGGAGUCUGCUCACUGUUCUAUAAUUUGUAAAAAAAUAUUUUAAUAAGCAACCAUUCAACUAGGUGCAAAACUUGUGAUGUCUGGCCAAUCUGUUGACAACAUGCAGCAUUAAAAUUAGUUCUCUUUUGCCUCAUUUUCAUCCAAAGAGGCAUUAAGUAAACAGCUGCUUUUUCUGCUUAGUAAAAUAAAAUUUUUAAAAACUUUA